rnacentral:rRNA from 1 species
GACGAACGCUGGCGGCGUGCCUAAUACAUGCAAGUCGAGCGCAGGAAAUCAUCCGAACCCUUCGGGGGGACGUUGAUGGAAUGAGCGGCGGACGGGUGAGUAACACGUAAAGAACCUGCCCUCAGGUCUGGGAUAACCACGAGAAAUCGGGGCUAAUACCGGAUGGGUCAUCGGACCGCAUGGUCCGAGGAUGAAAGGCGCUUCGGCGUCGCCUGGGGAUGGCUUUGCGGUGCAUUAGCUAGUUGGUGGGGUAAUGGCCCACCAAGGCGACGAUGCAUAGCCGACCUGAGAGGGUGAUCGGCCAAGCUGGGACUGAGACACGGCCCAGACUCCUACGGGAGGCAGCAGUAGGGAAUCUUCCACAAUGGACGAAAGUCUGAUGGAGCAACGCCGCGUGAACGAUGAAGGCCUUCGGGUCGUAAAGUUCUGUUGUAAGGGAAGAACAAGUGCCGCAGGCAAUGGCGGCACCUUGACGGUACCUUGCGAGAAAGCCACGGCUAACUACGUGCCAGCCGCCGCGGUAA